ACAGUGUCGCUACUGCUCCAAUCGAUGGCCAUUGAGUCCGAAGGCCAGCCAGGCGAGCAUCUGGCUUCCCCCCCCCCACCUCAGCUCGUUGUCACCUUAGGCCGAAAGAGGACGGAGACCCGGGACAUCAGCCCUAAAAGGGUGAAGAGGUGCAAGGCCACCGUUGAGUGGAGCGGACACUUCUAAUGGGGGGGCAGAAAGUGGCGGGGCCGGGCCGAAGAGCGACACGAGCCUUCUGACAGCCCCCCCCCCCCCCAGAACAGCUCAGAGAGACGGCCCGUCAGGAAGACCGUACUUUGUACCAUUUGUGUCC